rnacentral:rRNA from 1 species
GUUAAGCGACUAAGCGUACACGGUGGAUGCCCUGGCAGUCAGAGGCGAUGAAGGACGUGCUAAUCUGCGAUAAGCGUCGGUAAGGUGAUAUGAACCGUUAUAACCGGCGAUUUCCGAAUGGGGAAACCCAGUGUGUUUCGACACACUAUCAUUAACUGAAUCCAUAGGUUAAUGAGGCGAACCGGGGGAACUGAAACAUCUAAGUACCCCGAGGAAAAGAAAUCAACCGAGAUUCCCCCAGUAGCGGCGAGCGAACGGGGAGCAGCCCAGAGCCUGAAUCAGUGUGUGUGUUAGUGGAAGCGUCUGGAAAGGCGCGCGAUACAGGGUGACAGCCCCGUACACAAAAAUGCACAUGCUGUGAGCUCGAUGAGUAGGGCGGGACACGUGGUAUCCUGUCUGAAUAUGGGGGGACCAUCCUCCAAGGCUAAAUACUCCUGACUGACCGAUAGUGAACCAGUACCGUGAGGGAAAGGCGAAAAGAACCCCGGCGAGGGGAGUGAAAAAGAACCUGAAACCGUGUACGUACAAGCAGUGGGAGCACGCUUAGGCGUGUGACUGCGUACCUUUUGUAUAAUGGGUCAGCGACUUAUAUUCUGUAGCAAGGUUAACCGAAUAGGGGAGCCGAAGGGAAACCGAGUCUUAACUGGGCGUUAAGUUGCAGGGUAUAGACCCGAAACCCGGUGAUCUAGCCAUGGGCAGGUUGAAGGUUGGGUAACACUAACUGGAGGACCGAACCGACUAAUGUUGAAAAAUUAGCGGAUGACUUGUGGCUGGGGGUGAAAGGCCAAUCAAACCGGGAGAUAGCUGGUUCUCCCCGAAAGCUAUUUAGGUAGCGCCUCGUGAAUUCAUCUCCGGGGGUAGAGCACUGUUUCGGCAAGGGGGUCAUCCCGACUUACCAACCCGAUGCAAACUGCGAAUACCGGAGAAUGUUAUCACGGGAGACACACGGCGGGUGCUAACGUCCGUCGUGAAGAGGGAAACAACCCAGACCGCCAGCUAAGGUCCCAAAGUCAUGGUUAAGUGGGAAACGAUGUGGGAAGGCCCAGACAGCCAGGAUGUUGGCUUAGAAGCAGCCAUCAUUUAAAGAAAGCGUAAUAGCUCACUGGUCGAGUCGGCCUGCGCGGAAGAUGUAACGGGGCUAAACCAUGCACCGAAGCUGCGGCAGCGACGCUGAUGCGUUGUUGGGUAGGGGAGCGUUCUGUAAGCCUGCGAAGGUGUGCUGUGAGGCAUGCUGGAGGUAUCAGAAGUGCGAAUGCUGACAUAAGUAACGAUAAAGCGGGUGAAAAGCCCGCUCGCCGGAAGACCAAGGGUUCCUGUCCAACGUUAAUCGGGGCAGGGUGAGUCGACCCCUAAGGCGAGGCCGAAAGGCGUAGUCGAUGGGAAACAGGUUAAUAUUCCUGUACUUGGUGUUACUGCGAAGGGGGGACGGAGAAGGCUAUGUUGGCCGGGCGACGGUUGUCCCGGUUUAAGCGUGUAGGCUGGUUUUCCAGGCAAAUCCGGAAAAUCAAGGCUGAGGCGUGAUGACGAGGCACUACGGUGCUGAAGCAACAAAUGCCCUGCUUCCAGGAAAAGCCUCUAAGCAUCAGGUAACAUCAAAUCGUACCCCAAACCGACACAGGUGGUCAGGUAGAGAAUACCAAGGCGCUUGAGAGAACUCGGGUGAAGGAACUAGGCAAAAUGGUGCCGUAACUUCGGGAGAAGGCACGCUGAUAUGUAGGUGAAGUCCCUUGCGGAUGGAGCUGAAAUCAGUCGAAGAUACCAGCUGGCUGCAACUGUUUAUUAAAAACACAGCACUGUGCAAACACGAAAGUGGACGUAUACGGUGUGACGCCUGCCCGGUGCCGGAAGGUUAAUUGAUGGGGUCAGCGCAAGCGAAGCUCUUGAUCGAAGCCCCGGUAAACGGCGGCCGUAACUAUAACGGUCCUAAGGUAGCGAAAUUCCUUGUCGGGUAAGUUCCGACCUGCACGAAUGGCGUAAUGAUGGCCAGGCUGUCUCCACCCGAGACUCAGUGAAAUUGAACUCGCUGUGAAGAUGCAGUGUACCCGCGGCAAGACGGAAAGACCCCGUGAACCUUUACUAUAGCUUGACACUGAACAUUGAGCCUUGAUGUGUAGGAUAGGUGGGAGGCUUUGAAGUGUGGACGCCAGUCUGCAUGGAGCCGACCUUGAAAUACCACCCUUUAAUGUUU